GAUGAACGCUGGCGGAAUGCUUUACACAUGCAAGUCAAACGGCAGCACGGACUUCGGUCUGGUGGCGAGUGGCGAACGGGUGAGUAACAUAUCGGGACGUAUCCAAUAAUGGGGGAUAACGAGUCGAAAGAUUCGCUAAUACCGCAUACGCCCUACGGGGGAAAGCUGGGGACCUUCGGGCCUGGCGUUAAUGGAGCGGCCGAUAUCUGAUUAGCUAGUUGGGGAGGAAAAGGCUCACCAAGGCGACGAUCAGUAGGUGGGCUAGAAGGACGACCAUCCACACUGGAACAUAGCCACGGUCCAGACGCCUACGGGAGGCAGCAGUUGGGAAUUUUGGACAAUGGGCGCAAGCCUGAUCCAGCCAUUCCGCGUGAGUGAAGAAGGCCUUCGGGUUGUAAAGCUCUUUCGCAAGGGAAGAAAACUUAGCCACUAACAUUGGUUGAGGUUGACGGUACCUUGAUAAGAAGCACCGGCUAACUACGUGCCAGCCGCCGCCGUAA
rnacentral:rRNA from 1 species